UACAGAGGUCCCGAGCGUUGUUCGGAUUCACUGGGCGUAAAGGGUGCGCAGGUGGGUUUGCAAGUUUGAUGUGAAAGCCCCGGGCUUAACCCGGGAAUGGCAUUGAAUACUGCAGAUCUGGAGGAUUGGAGGGGGGACUGGAAUUUACGGUGUAGCAGUGAAAUGCGUAGAUAUCGUAAGGAAGACCAGUGGCGAAGGCGAGUCUCUGGACAGUUACCGACGCUGAGGCACGAAGGUCAGGGGAGCAAACGGG
rnacentral:rRNA from 1 species